CGCAAAGUGCUGUCAGUUCUCAAUCUCAGGGAACUUGCACAGCUGUGAGGCAUGAACCGCUUGCCUUCUGACGCCAAGGAAACUCGGGUUCUGAGACAGAGGACUCGACCAGAGUUACAUUGCUGGAGAACGUCAGGACUUGAACUCAGAGGAGGCAAAGUUUAUUUGGGGUUGCCGGUUUCAGAAGCCUCCAUCGGUUGGGGCCUGACUCCAUUCCUUGGGGCCUGAAGUGAGAUAGAACAUCAUGGUGGGAGUACGCGGUGGAGGAAAGCGGCUCAGGACCCGGCAAUCAGGAAGCAGAGAGAUACACCACCCUCCAGGAACUUCAAUGUGUUUGGAAGUUUCCAGAACCCUGACCUUUGGAUUUUUAUGGAGGCUUCAUUCAUCUAGACUUCAAAAACUCUGCUUUCUAGGGAAUACAGACUGAGCUAUCAGGAGAUUUUCUGAUUGUCUUUUGGCUUCCCUGUGCCAGUCUUCGGUUACUGUGGUUUCAUUUCCUCAACUGCUGCAUUUAUCUCUGUAUCUCCUGAGCCCGAGACCUGCUUUAUGAUGGCAUCCGACUCCWUGGCUUGGUCAUUGUCAGUCUUUGAUGAAAGGUGAGGCCCCUCUCAGCGUGCUGCAGAGCAGAGCUCUGACAUGGCAAACUGAAUCCCAAGCUUCUGUUGUGGUGACUUUGCCCACAGCUGCGUUCGUCCUUCUCAGGCAGUUCAGACUUCUCAUGGAGAUGCCCUUCUGCACCCUGGGUCAUCUGGUGAGUGCUAGAGCUAACCCAGGGCUGGGAAGGGUAGGUGCUGGAGUCUCUGGUUCCACCCUAGACCCAGGGUUUGCUCCUCCCACUGGUACCUCUAUUYGCUGCUGGCGGUGCUGCACAAACCUUUAAGAAAGUGUCUGUYACGGUUUUCCAAGAACCGUCUCAACAGUCAGUCCUGCUUCUGAGAGUCUAGCGUUAGGAAAUAAAAUGUGACACUCAAUGUAGCAUUAUUGAUGAUGAGAAAUUAAAGGCAAAAUAUGUGCCAACAGUACCGUUGGUCCUCUGUGGCUGCAGGUCCCCUUCCAUGGA